rnacentral:rRNA from 1 species
UCCAUGGGCCAUACCCCCCUGAACCCGUCCAAUCUCAUCUGAUCUUGGAAGCUGAGGCCUGGUUAGUACUUGGAUGACAGACCUCAUUGGACUACCAGGUGUUGGGGGAA